rnacentral:tRNA from 1 species
GCCUAGGUGGCUGGGUCAGUUAAGCGUCUGACUUCAGCUCAGGUAUGAUCUCACGGUUUAUGGGUUUGAGCCCCAUGUUGGGCU